rnacentral:rRNA from 1 species
UACGAGAGGCCCAAACGUUAUUCGGAUUUACUGGGCUUAAAGAGUUCGUAGGCGGCGCAGAAAGUAGGGUGUGAAAGCCCUCGGCUCAACCGAGGAAUUGCGCCCUAAACUACUGUGCUUGAGGGACCUAGAGGUGAGCAGAACUGAUGGUGGAGCGGUGAAAUGCGUUGAUAUCAUCAGGAAUACCGGGAGGCGAAGGGCGGCUCACUGGGGG